rnacentral:lncRNA from 1 species
AGCAUGGCUAGCCUGAUGAAGUGAAGGCAGCAUGAGAUGCGGGAGAAUAAAAGGCUCCUAGAGAAGUCCCAGCAUGUGGAGGCCAUCCUGCAGGCAACAGGUGCUGAGGCGGUGCAGCUGCAUGAGGUCGAGGAGAUAAUCACAAGUCCCGAGCAGCAGCAGCUUGAGACCCUAAAACGCAACAAGUCUGGUACCGGAUGACACCGACCCAAACGAGCAGCGUGGAUGUCCCCAGCAGGAUGCUGCACACGUCGUAGUCCGAGAAGUUCUGUGGGGACACCACGGGGACAGCGUGGGGACAGCGCCACCCGGACAGGGCCAGCACCCAGGGGUCACAAUGGCCACCCAGGGCUGACCUUGGCCUCGAUGCCGAUCUUGAGGACGGUGCCCAGCACGGUCAGGAGGUCGCUGGUGACCAGCAGCAGGUACCACCCGUUGAGAAACUCCAGCCUCUCCCACACGGACACGGCGUGGCCGUGCUGGCGCCACAGGAACCAGCUGAACUCCUGUGGGGACACCGCUGUCACCGCCGGGGUGCCACCUCUGGGGUGCUACCAGCUCCCACUGUGUCCCAAUGUUCCAAUGUCCCAUUGUGUCCCUCCAUGUCCCAAUGUCCCACCAUGUCCCGAUGUCCCAAUAUCCCACCGUGUCCCCAUGUCCCACCAUGUCCCAAUGUCCCACCAUGUCCCUCCAUGUCCCCAAUGUCCCACCCUGUCCCAACAUCCCACCAUGUCUCCAUGUACCACUGUGUCCCCAUGUCCCACCACGUCCCCAUGUCCCAUCGUGUCCCACGGUGUCCCACCGUGUCCCAGCACUUCCCAACAUCUCCCACCAUCCCCCCACAUCCCAUCAAUCCCCUCCCCCAAACCCCUCAGUUCCGGUUCUGGCGCUGGUUCCGGUUCCAGUUCCAGUCCUGGUCC